CGAACGGGUGAGUAACGCGUGAGGAACCUGCCUCAAAGAGGGGGACAACAGUUGGAAACGACUGCUAAUACCGCAUAAGCCCACGGCUCGGCAUCGAGCAGAGGGAAAAGGAGCAAUCCGCUUUGAGAUGGCCUCGCGUCCGAUUAGCUAGUUGGUGAGGUAACGGCCCACCAAGGCGACGAUCGGUAGCCGGACUGGGAGGGUGACCGGCCACAUUGGGACUGAGACACGGCCCAA
rnacentral:rRNA from 1 species